GCUUAGGAAUCUGCCAUUUAGUGGGGGACAACAUUCCGAAAGGAAUGCUAAUACCGCAUACGUCCUACGGGAGAAAGCAGGGGAUCUUCGGACCUUGCGCUAAAUGAUGAGCCUAAGUCGGAUUAGCUAGUUGGUGGGGUAAAGGCCUACCAAGGCGACGAUCUGUAGCGGGUCUGAGAGGAUGAUCCGCCACACUGGGACUGAGACACGGCCCAGACUCCUACGGGAGGCAGCAGUGGGGAAUAUUGGACAAUGGGCGCAAGCCUGAUCCAGCCAUGCCGCGUGUGUGAAGAAGGCCUUUUGGUUGUAAAGCACUUUAAGCGAGGAGGAGGCUCUCUUAGUUAAUACCUAAGAUGAGUGGACGUUACUCGCAGAAUAAGCACCGGCUAACUCUGUGCCAGCAGCCGCGGUAAUACAGAGGGUGCGAGCGUUAAUCGGAUUUACUGGGCGUAAAGCGUGCGUAGGCGGCUUUUUAAGUCGGAUGUGAAAUCCCCGAGCUUAACUUGGGAAUUGCAUUCGAUACUGGGAAGCUAGAGUAUGGGAGAGGAUGGUAGAAUUCCAGGUGUAGCGGUGAAAUGCGUAGAGAUCUGGAGGAAUACCGAUGGCGAAGGCAGCCAUCUGGCCUAAUACUGACGCUGAGGUACGAAAGCAUGGGGAGCAAACAGGAUUAG
rnacentral:rRNA from 1 species